ensembl:rRNA 5S_rRNA 5S ribosomal RNA
GUCUAUGGCCAUACCACCCUGAAUACGCCCAGUCUCAUCUGAUCUCGGAAGCUAAGCAGGGUUGGGCCUGGAUGGGAGAAGUGCUUGUUUUUCAGACUACAGGACAGUGGGUA